rnacentral:lncRNA from 10 species
CUACUCCCUUCCUAGCAGAACCUUGAUUAGGUCGAGGUUUAAACAGCAAUGUGUCAAGGCAGGUGGACCAGGAGGAUCCUAAGGGAGGGAACUUGAUUGAUCUGGGCCAAUCGUAACACUCUUGAACAUCCCUUGGUCAGCAAUUGGCUUAGAGGUGGGCAUCCUAAACUUGGCAUAUGAGAAAGACAGUAGGAAUUUGCUGGGCGCUCUUGGGAAAUAUUGCAUAAAACAAUUCAUCAAAAUUGGCCUUUCCUUUUUGCCUUGACUUGCCAUGUAAGAAGUAAUGCCUAAUGCUGCGACAGACAAAUUGCAACCAUCAGGGAAAGCCAGGAGACUCUGAGAGAGACCAAUUAUUGAGCUGAUGAAUGAACCCUUCCUGAAGCCACCUACUUCCUCACUUAUUGGUGUGUCCUUACUGUGUAAACCCCUUUUAACUGGGUGUUUUGUUUCUUGCAGCCAAAAACAAUCCAUUGAUACACUUGGUGACAUUAAUUGAGAAAAAAACAAUAUGGUCUGGCCAUGGAGGCAUGGUAUCCGUAACAUCCCCCAAAGGAGCUAAAGAAGAAAUCCACAAUUUACCAUGAGCAUUUCUCGUCUGAAGAUUGCCAAGCGAUUCCUCCAGGACAUUCCUCAAGAUCAAUUUCUGUUCAUCCACCUUGUCCUGGGAGGGACAUCAAUGGGUUUCCAUGUCCUUUGGCUUCUGGUUGAGUUCACUCAGUGGAGAACCCUGGCAAGAGGCAGGAAAAGGGGAGGAAGCCUGACCGGUUUGAAUUUCACCUUCUGUUCACCUUGGAUGAGAGCAGUAAUCAUCACGAUCCCAGGGAACAGCCAAAGGAAGAGAAAAGGCAAAAGAUUUGGACAAGACUCAUGAAGACUAACAGCUCUUGGAUAAUUGAGAGAAGGCAGCUGCGUGAACAGUUUUGAUGCAAUCAUGAAGGCAGGGCCCAGUGCCUGUGGCAUCUGCCUUUUUCUGGAACCAAUCCAUAUUUCCUUGUGGUUUU